GUGCUUGCCUUGGCAGCACACACAAAUCUGGAAUGAUACUGAGAAGAUCAGCAUGGCCCCUGGGCAAGGAUGCCGGGCAAAUUCCUGAAGUGCUGCAUGUUUUG
rnacentral:snRNA from 1 species